AAAAAACAAAUGUGAGGUAGGCUGAACUUGAUGGACGCAAAUCUCUUUUCAGCUAUGUAACUUUUCCAAGAUGCGUUUUGCCAAUUGAUACUGAAAAGAACCCAGUUCAUAAAUCCAUAUGUGAAACCGUGCACACGAUGGCCUUCUGUGGUCAGAUGACGCUCAUGGGCCAAUCCUCCCUGUUCAGAGGCAAUUUGCCCUCACUCUAGGCUUCAGGAAAUUAUGUGUCACUAGUUUGUGGUGAGCGGAAAGACACAUCGCAUCCUCUGGUUAUACCAGAAAUGACGUUGCAUACAUAUCAGAGCGUCACUUCCGGUGUGUAGUGAAGUACUUGGGAAGUAGUCUGUCACUAUCCACACAGUCCCAGGAAGCUCAAUCGGCCAUGUAAAAAGAGAGCAAUGGAUGCAGUGCAUCAUAUUAAACAAUAUAAAAGGAAAAUAAUAUGUAUUUAAUCAAUUAAUCCACUCACCAAUAUCAAUAGAAGCUCUAUAUUUAGAACGAAUUACCAGAGGAAACGACAUGACAUUACUGUCAUUGAUAGAGCCUCGCAGCGAAACUCUACUUUGCAGGACUUUUCUUAUUAAUUGCAAAAUAUUAUAUAAUGUUUACUCAAUAUAUGUCAGUAUAAGGGGAGAGAAAGAAAGAUCAGGGUAGAGGUGCUGUAAGAGAGGUUAGAAUAAGGGGGGUGUAAGAGAUUGAAG